rfam:Ovis aries breed Texel chromosome 6, whole genome shotgun sequence.
UCUCUGAUAGCUCAGCUGGUAAAGAAUCUGCCUGCAAUGCAGGAGACCCUGGUUUGAUUCUGGGUUGGGAAG